AUAAAUAGCAGAGAGAAAACAUGAUCACAAAGGUGAAUUUCCAGGGUCUGUAUUACCCAUUGCACUACAGAUAUGUUGACCCCUGAGAUUUCCCCAAAUGUGGGAAAAUUGACUAAAUGAUUUCUGGUAAUGGGGAACUAUCUUCAUGCUCUCCCCU
ensembl:snRNA U1 U1 spliceosomal RNA